rnacentral:snRNA from 1 species
UGAGCCCAUUAUGGUUCAUGGGAAAAGAGUACACUGGAUCGACUCUAACACUGGUUUCAUCAUACCAGGAGUCUCCAGUGCUGGUGAAAUCCAAAGUUAUCGAACAAAGG